rnacentral:piRNA from 1 species
UGAGUUUUCGCCAUUUACACCUUUAA